UACGAGGGGUGCAAGCGUUGCUCGGAAUUAUUGGGCGUAGAGGGCAAGUAGGUGGUCUCAUUUGUCUGGGGUGAAAGCCUUGAGCUUAACUCAAGAAGUGCCCCGGAAACGGUGAGACUCGAGUAUUGGAGAGGGUCGUGGAAUUCCCGGUGUAGCGGUGAAAUGCGUAGAGAUCGGGAGGAACACCAGAGGCGAAGGCGGCGACCUGGACAAUUACUGACACUCAACUGCGAAAGCGUGGGGAGCAAACAGG
rnacentral:rRNA from 1 species